GACAGAGGGUGCAAACGUUGUUCGGAAUUACUGGGCGUAAAGCGCAUGUAGGUGGUCCAGCAAGUCGGAUGUGAAAGCCCACGGCUCAACCGUGGAAGUGCAUUCGAAACUGCUGAACUUGAGUCCCGGAGAGGAUAGUGGAAUUGGUGGUGUAGAGGUGAAAUUCGUAGAUAUCACUAGGAACACCGGCGGCGAAAGCGGCUAUCUGGACGAGGACUGACACUGAGAUGCGAAAGCGUGGGGAGCAAACAGG
rnacentral:rRNA from 1 species